CCUCCCAAAGCCUCUCAAUGAUGCUCAAAUCUGGGGGGG
rnacentral:sRNA from 1 species